CCCCCCCCCCCCCCCCCCCCCCCCGCCUUUUCCUCGCUCAGCGCUCCCCCACGAAAAGCAAAUGGUGCUGGGCAAGGCAUGUAACUGCACGAUCUGCUCUAAUUACCCCGCGGAGCUAAUUGGGCUCGGGGAAGCCCUAGCGCAGGGAGGCUCCGCGGGAUGAGCCGGGGGGGGGUGGCUCCCGAGCACCCCCCUCCCCAAAAAAAUAACCAUCAUCACCAUCAUCAUCAUCCCCGUGCCNAUGAGCAUUUCAAGGUGAUUUCGAGCUAGUCAGGUGGAAGGAAGGGGGGCAACGGAGGAAAAACUUUUGGGUGAUUUUUUUUUUUUUUUUUUUUUUUUUUUUUUUUUUUUUUUUUUUUUUUCCCCCCCCCCCCCCCCCCCCCCCCCCCCCCCCCCCCCCCCCCCCCCC
rnacentral:lncRNA from 12 species